AUGGUGCUCAAAGGUACAGUACUUGCCUACCAUGCAAGAGGCCUGGGUUCGAUCCCCAGCACUACA
rnacentral:tRNA from 1 species